rnacentral:tRNA from 1 species
GAACCGUUCGACUUCCGGGAGGUCAACAGGUCUUCACCCUGUUCAGGCGGGUUCGACACCCGUACGGUUCUCCA